UACGGGGGGGGCAAGCGUUGUUCGGAAUUACUGGGCGUAAAGGGCUUGUAGGUGGCCAACUAAGUCAGACGUGAAAUCCCUCAGCUUAACUGGGGAACUGCGUCUGAUACUGGAUGGCUUGAGUUUGGGAGAGGGACGCGGAAUUCCAGGUGUAGCGGUGAAAUGCGUAGAUAUCUGGAGGAACACCGGUGGCGAAGGCGGCAUCCUGGACCGGCAUUGACGCUGAGGCGCGAAAGCCAGGGGAGCAAACGGG
rnacentral:rRNA from 1 species